rnacentral:rRNA from 1 species
GUCCAGACUCCUACGGGAGGCAGCAGUGGGGAAUAUUGCACAAUGGGGGGAACCCUGAUGCAGCGACGCCGCGUGAGUGAAGAAGUAUUUCGGUAUGUAAAGCUCUAUCAGCAGGGAAGAAAAUGACGGUACCUGACUAAGAAGCCCCGGCUAACUACGUGCCAGCAGCCGCGGUAAUACGUAGGGGGCAAGCGUUAUCCGGAUUUACUGGGUGUAAAGGGAGCGUAGACGGCAUGGCAAGUCAGAUGUGAAAGCCCGGGGCUCAACCCCGGGACUGCAUUUGAAACUGUCAGGCUGGAGUGCAGGAGAGGUAAGUGGAAUUCCUAGUGUAGCGGUGAAAUGCGUAGAUAUCAGGAGGAACACCGGUGGCGAAGGCGGCCUGCUGGACUGCAACUGACGUUGAGGCCCGAAAGCGUGGGGAGCAAACAGGAUUAGAUACCCCAGUACCC